rnacentral:rRNA from 1 species
AUUGAACGCUGGCGGCAGGCCUAACACAUGCAAGUCGAGCGGAGCGGCGGACGGGUGCGUAAUGCAUAGGAAUCUGCCUGGUAGUGGGGGCUAAAGUCCGGAAACGGGAGCUAAUACAGCAUACUAUCAGAUGAGACUAGGUAGGAUUAGAUAGUGGGUGGGGUAAAGGCCUACAAAGGGGACGAUCCGUCACUGGUCUGAGAUGAUGAUCAGGCACACUGGAACUGAGACACGGUCCAGACUCCUACGGGAGUCAGCAGUGGGGAAUAUUGGACAAUGGGCGAAAGCCUGAUCCAGCCAUGCCGCGUGUGUGAAGAAGGUCUUCGGAUUGUAAAGCACUUUAAGUUGGGAGGCGUUACCAACAGAAUAAGCACCGGCUAACUUCGUGCCAGCAGCCGCGGUAAUUC